rnacentral:rRNA from 1 species
AUACGUAGGUGACAAGCGUUAUCCGGAUUUACUGGGCGUAAAGGGCGUGUAGGCGGUCUUGCAAGUCAGAAGUGAAAUUCCUGAGCUCAACUCGGGCGCUGCUUCUGAAACUGCAGGACUUGAGUGCUGGAGGGGAUAGCGGAAUUCCUAGUGGAGCGGUAAAAUGCGCAGAUAUUAGGAAGAACACCGGUGGCGAAGGCGGCUAUCUGGACAGUAACUGACGCUGAGGCGCGAAAGCGUGGGGAGCAAACAGGAUUAGAUACCCCGGUAGUCCUGGCAGUAAACGAUGUAUGCUGGGUGUGGGAGUAGCGAUACCUCCGUGCCGAAGUUAACGCGAUAAGCAUACCGCCUGGGGAGUACGGUCGCAAGAUUGAAACUCAAAUGAAUUGACGGGG